UACGAAGGGGGCUAGCGUUGCUCGGAAUCACUGGGCGUAAAGGGUGCGUAGGCGGGGCUUUAAGUCAGGGGUGAAAUCCUGGAGCUCAACUCCAGAACUGCCUUUGAUACAGCACGUCUCGAGUCCGGAAGAGGUGGGUGGAAUUCCUAGUGUAGAGGUGAAAUUCGUAGAUAUUAGGAAGAACACCGGUGGCGAAGGCGGCCCACUGGUCCGGUACUGACGCUGAGGUGCGAAAGCGUGGGGAGCAAACAGG
rnacentral:rRNA from 1 species